rfam:Photobacterium iliopiscarium strain ATCC 51761 CFSAN029430_contig0034, whole genome shotgun sequence.
GAAUACCGGCCUGUCACGCCGGGGGUCGCGGGUUCGAGUCCCGUCCACUCCG